rnacentral:rRNA from 1 species
UCCAGACUCCUACGGGAGGCAGCAGUGGGGAAUAUUGCACAAUGGGGGAAACCCUGAUGCAGCAACGCCGUGCGAGUGAAGAAGCGUUUCGGCGCGUAAAGCUCUGUCAGCGGGGAAGAAAGAAGACGGUACCCGACCAAGAAGCCCUGGCUAACUACGUGCCAGCAGCCGCGGUAAUACGUAAGUGGCAAGCGUUGUCCGGAUUUACUGGGUGUAAAGGGCGUGUAGCCGGGUUGACAAGUCAGAUGUGAAAUCCUGCGGCUUAACCGCAGAACUGCAUUUGAAACUGUUGAUCUUGAGUACUGGAGAGGCAGACGGAAUUCCUAGUGUAGCGGUGAAAUGCGUAGAUAUUAGGAGGAACACCAGUGGCGAAGGCGGUCUGCUGGACAGCAACUGACGGUGAGGCGCGAAAGCGUGGGGAGCAAACAGGAUUAGAUACCCUUGUA